UAAAUAUUGACUUUUAAAGUUGCAGUGCUUCUUAAAUAUAUAUAUAUAUAUAUAUAUAUAUAUAUAUAUAUAUAUAUAUAUAUAUAUAUAUUUAAGAAGCACUGCAACUUUAAAAGUCAAUAUUUA